GUCAGUGUGGUGUAGUGGUUUGAGCAUUGGAUUAGGGCUCCAGAAGACUGGGGUUCAAAUCUCCACUCAGCUA